rfam:Solenopsis invicta Si_gnG.contig91010, whole genome shotgun sequence.
CUCGUCCUUGUCUUUGGGGAGCAAAGUGCUCAAUGAUCGUUUAGUGAGAGUGCUGUUGCUGAAACCCGAAUUAAGAUUUUUACCCCGCAUCCGUAUUUACAUACGAGAUGCAAUUUUUGAAAGG